rnacentral:misc_RNA from 1 species
AAGUCGUAACAAGGUUUCCGUAGGUGAACCUGCGGAAGGAUCAUUACAACGUAUCCACGUAUCAAACUCGCGAACUGUCCCCUUUAGAGUAAACAAUUGUGGAUGAAGUUAAUGGCUGAUUGAUUCUCGCUGAUGGAGUUCACGGAUUUUUAUCUGAGAACUGAGAGUCUUUUGGUCGCUGGCCGAAGCGCUUGCGUUUCAGCUGGGACUUCGUUUACUCUACUGCGGUUUUUAUACCAUCGGCGGUGUUGUAUUAACCUUUAUUAACCCCAUGUAAAUUUCGAACUGAACUUGUAACCGUUCUGCGGCUGUUCUUGCUGGCUUCGGUCACGGACAGCGUCAACGCAGCUCAGUUAUUCUUUUACAAAACAAAGAACAACUCUUAACAACGGAUAUCUUGGUUCUC